UCUUAUUACACUAGAGACAGCUGCAGACUGAGCGAACGGCCCAAGUAAGUGCUCUCUUCGGGCGAAAACCUCACUUUCAAAACCCUCCUUGCCACUGUUCCAGACGGUUCCUAGUCGAAAAGAAGAAUAGUAGUUAAAAAGGCGAUGGUUGUCUGCAAUGUCCAGAGUGGAAACGAUGGAGAUCAAUGAAAGCAAUUCACGUUCCCAUGAGAAUGGGCAUUUGAGAGGUUCAAAUAACUCCAGCAAAGAGAAUUCUUCCGAGAAAGAUGUGUUUGUUAACCAUGCUGAGGUAGCUUGGCAUGAGAGACGAAAACAGUGGGUGGGUGAUCCAUCUCAAAAGUUACAGAGAAUGUUUCGAGAACCAAUUAUGAGCUUGACCACAACAUAUGAGGAUCUGCUUUGCUCUACAGAACCUUUUCAACAGCCAAUACCAUUAGCUGAGAUGGUGGACUUUUUAGUUGACAUAUGGCAUGAAGAAGGCCUUUAUGACUAAAUUAUUGGGAAAUUAGUAAUGUUGGCUGCGCAGUUUUGUUUGUGCUGAUUAAUACAAACCGA
rnacentral:misc_RNA from 1 species